GCAAAGCUGAGGAACAGAUGCUGGAAUGCUGUGACCCUGAGACGUGACUGCGCCCUGCCAGGCCCAACAGCUGCCUCUCCAGAUGACACAUUUACCCCUUCUCCAACCGCAAGUGUACUGGCAUGUAACUGCAUCAGAUCCGGACACACGUGCAUGUGAGCAGAUAGAAGAAUCAGUGCAGAGACUCAAAACUGCCUUGGGGCUCAUCAAGCCUGAGUAACAAAAUAAAUCAGAGAAAUGAAAAAAGGAGCAGAAAAUAUAGGACAAAAUAUUACAGUCUUCUCAAAAUAGUUGCGGAAUUGAGGCAACAUUCCCUGGGAGCUCCGCCAUCUCCGUGCUGACCAGCCGAGGCCUGGCCCAUCUGCCUCGAAGCCCUCAUUCAGUGCACUUAUUAGACCAGAGUCAUCAGCUACCUGACUGUCUCCUGUGAGGCCAUGGGAGCUUCUGGUGCUCUAUCUGCAGCCCUUUCUCUACCCAAUACCCCUGCGCCUCCACCACCACCAUUUAACUCUGUGUGGCUGCAUCCUCUGAGGCUGGCUUCUCUCAGGAAGAGGGACACGGAUUCUUUUUGGCUCAGCUUCUCCCUCUGCUGCAACAUAUCUGGGCCCGCUAUAUCAUUUCCUCUCUCUCAAAAGCGUAUGUAGAAAGGAGGAAGACUUGCAUAAGGCUCCCCAGGCUCUAGAACCAGAAAGCCUUUCACCUGUUUUCUGUGAGGUGGCGGUUCCCUCACACCACAUCACAGCUUGUUUACAGUACAACUCCUAGCCAAGCUUUGCUCUUGUGAUAUGUAGAGAUGAAUUAGGUGAACUUUGAAAAUCCCUUUUCUCUCUUGAGAAAAUUUUCUUUUCCAGACGCAUGUUGGCUACCCCAGGUUUUACAGGUGAGUACACCUCACUUGUGAGGCAGGAAUUUAACGUACUCUCUUGAGGUGGGAGAUACCCAGAUACCACAGUUGUCUGCAGCUGAUGAGAAAGAAAAAGAGGCUCAUUGGGGUCCUCAGUCCCCCACCUGCCUCCGUGUGACCUCCCCCAGGGCAGCUUGCCGUCCCCUCCCCAAUGGGGUGCACUCCCAGGCUUCAGCCUGCUCACCUCUCCAAGUCUAUCCUUUUGUCUUAUAACAUCUUCCCCCAUUGCCUCCCAUUUUCUCUUCUACCUCUAGACUGUAAGUCAGUCUAGGACUGUAAGUUACUUACAUGCAAUGCCCUGAGAUUUUGGAUUGUCAUCUUAUUCCUUUCUUUAUGACGGCUGUCCACUUUUAGACAAAAGGAAGGAAGAACCACUCUCCCUACAAUAGGAAGCUCUGGGCAGAGCUUCCUCUUUGAGAGAAGAGGAAAAGAGGAGGCAAUCUCUCAUUUCUGAAAUCUGUUGUAAGACUACAUUAUCAAAGGAAGAGAAGAAAUACUUAAAAGGAGGAAAGGAGACUGCUAAAAUUUAUGAUCUAUGUUUUUCAACAGUUAUUUCCCUCAAACCUUUCCGCUUACAACAAGGAUGAUGGAUGCUCGUCUGUGUGUGUGUGUGUGUGUGUAAGUGAUGAUGGAAACGUCAUUUGCUUGAAAUCUCAUGUUUUAGUUUAAAAGUGUAAGAGAAAAUUUUAUUCUAAUCUAGAACAUAUCUUUGUUUUAAUAGGAAAAAAUGACCUCAUAAAGUAAAUUUUCCAUGUUUAUCUUUUGGUAGAACUCCAACCCCUGGUUGAAAAUCACAGCCUUAUUCUCUUUACUGAUGUGGGUGGGUGGAAGAAAUGGCUAGCUGUCCACCAAGAUUCAUGCUCCCCUUACACAGUGUAGAGUCAUUUUGGGGAAGGAGCUGAAGCCAGGGACUACAUUUCUCACCAAUCACCUCUGACUCCACCUUCUCCACCAGCAUCUGAGUAUGAACUUGUGCGACUUGUUCUUGCCAAUUAACUGUGAGCAGAAGAAAUGUUUGUUCCCCGUGUUCCAGAACACUGGGAUUAAGAAGCCAGUUUGCACCUCACACUAGUCAGAAUGGCCAUCAUUAAAAAGUCUACAAACAAUAAAUG